rnacentral:rRNA from 1 species
ACUUCUGAUGGCGACCGGCGCAUGGGUGCGUAACGCGUAUGCAACCUACCUGUAACAGGGGGAUAACACUGAGAAAUCGGUACUAAUACCGCAUAACACUAUGAGAGGCAUCUCUUGUGGUUGAAAGUUUCGGCGGUUACAGAUGGGCAUGCGUUGUAUUAGCUGGUUGGUAAGGUAACGGCUUACCAAGGCGACGAUACAUAGGGGGACUGAGAGGUUAACCCCCCACAUUGGUACUGAGACACGGACCAAACUCCUACGGGAGGCAGCAGUGAGGAAUAUUGGUCAAUGGACGGAAGUCUGAACCAGCCAUGCCGCGUGCAGGAAGACGGCUCUAUGAGUUGUAAACUGCUUUUGUACAAGGGUAAACCUGAAUACGUGUAUUCAGCUGAAAGUACUGUACGAAUAAGGAUCGGCUAACUCCGUGCCAGCAGCCGCGGUAAUACGGAGGAUCCAAGCGUUAUCCGGAUUUAUUGGGUUUAAAGGGUGCGUAGGCGGAUUGAUAAGUUAGAGGUGAAAUGUCCGAGCUUAACUCGGGAACUGCCUCUAAUACUGUUGAUCUAGAGAGUAGAUGCGGUAGGCGGAAUGUAUGGUGUAGCGGUGAAAUGCUUAGAGAUCAUACAGAACACCGAUUGCGAAGGCAGCUUACCAAUCUAUAUCUGACGUUGAGGCACGAAAGCGUGGGGAGCAAACAGGAUUAGAUACCCUGGUAGUCCACGCAGUAAACGAUGAUAGCUCG